GGAGGCUGGUGGUGGACGUGCCACUCGCCAACCGGGUCAGGUCCGGAAGGAAGCAGCCCCAACGAGUUGUGUACGGGUCAUCGUGCCGGCCUCCCAC
rfam:Martelella mediterranea DSM 17316 strain MACL11, complete genome.